rnacentral:RNase_P_RNA from 1 species
CCGGACAGUCGCGUGGCUUUUGCCAUGAGGAAAGUCCGGGCUCCAUAGGGCAUGGAUGCCGGAUAACGUCCGGCGUAGGUAACUAUAGGGAAAGUGCAACAGAAACAUUCCGCCGAACGAGUGAUUUUCACUGCGUGGUAAGGUUGAAAUGGUGAGGUAAGAGCUCACCGGCGGCAUGGUAACAUGCCGGCCGUGUAAACCCCAUCCGGAGCAAGACCAAGAUAGAGCGUGAAAAGCGGCGGCCCGCUGCUGCUCGAGAGGUAGGUCGCAUGAGCAUGCCAGCAAUGGUAUGCCUAGAUAGAUGGCUGUCUAUUACAGAACCCGGCUUAUAGGAU